CUGCUGACGAGUCCAAAACAGGACGAAACAGUUGUACAG
rnacentral:hammerhead_ribozyme from 1 species